rnacentral:rRNA from 1 species
UACGUAGGGUGCAAGCGUUAUCCGGAAUUAUUGGGCGUAAAGAGCUCGUAGGCGGUUUGGCGCGUCUGCUGUGAAAACUGGGGGCUCAACCCCCAGCCUGCAGUGGGUACGGGCAGACUAGAGUGCGGUAGGGGAGAUUGGAAUUCCUGGUGUAGCGGUGGAAUGCGCAGAUAUCAGGAGGAACACCGAUGGCGAAGGCAGAUCUCUGGGCCGUAACUGACGCUGAGGAGCGAAAGCAUGGGGAGCGAACAGG